AAUCACCCAAAAUAGAAAUCCAAAUCAGAGAGGAGAACUCUUUGAAUCAGAAAAUUCCAAUACCCUAAACCCUCCCCCACUCCUCAACAGCAGUGAUUUCCUAUUCGAGAAACUUCAUCCGACUCAACUUUUCGAUCCGUCUUUGUCGACUCCUUUUCAACUCUCAACCACAGAUUUCAAAUGUUUUGGUAUAGUAUCUUGGCCAUUUUUAUGGAGUUAUAUUUUUUAGGAAAAUGUGUAAUUAGUAUUUGCUUGAUUCUUUAUAUUUCAAGGUUUUUUAUGUCGAAGAUUGAACAAUGAAUUGCUUGGGAGAAAUAAUAUUACUUCGGUAUAUUUUGUGGAAUUGAAGCGGAGGCAUUUCUUUGUUUUUAAACUAAAAAUGUUAUAAGUAUUUGGAUUUGAAUAUAGUAGCUUCAAAUUGUUGAAAUGCUGUGUCUAUGUUCCGUAUCAUUAAUUGAUGAAAUUAUUUUUGAUUUUGAACUUCAACUGCUGGUUUUUUAAGUUGCUGAACAUGGUGUCCCAGCUUACUG
rnacentral:lncRNA from 1 species